CCUGUCAACACUGGGUAAGGAAGAGAAACAUUUGCUAUGACACGGAGAAACCAAAGACGGUGAUGGCAUGCAAAUACUGCUAGACGCCACUGAGCGGUUGUCCUCUAGAGAGCCAUUCUGGACAAUAGGGACCUGCAGUGUCUCAGGUAUCUGCUGUGUCUCAGGACUACAUUGGUUACAUUGACCUCUGAUAAAGAUCUGGCUCAGUGGAUGUGGUCUCUCCCAUCCUCCCUCCCUGCCUGUCAGCCUAGCAGAGAGCAGUCUGGCAACACGUGCUGAGACACUGAAAUUGUUCAGAGUGACCGCUGGGAUGAAGUGAUGUACUGUGGCUGUUAUAACUUUUUAUUCAACCUUUAACCAGGGUCAUUGGAGCGUGAAGCUGAGAGGGCUGCCAAGCCCGGCACCACCCACCCCACAGGCUGCUGCUGCUCCGCUCACACAGCCCAGCAACACACGUAUUUCUCCUCCCAUACCUGAGCUCUGACAUGCUCACCAAACGUUCAGAGGCACAACAAACUGUCAAGCUGCUCACUCUCAACCAAAGCAAGCACUUAUUGUUCCUUAAAGAAGAUUUUCUCUUUGCUAAUAUCCAAG
ensembl:lncRNA